UACGUAGGGUGCAAGCGUUAAUCGGAAUUACUGGGCGUAAAGCGCGCGUAGGUGGUUUGUUAAGUUGAAUGUGAAAUCCCCGGGCUCAACCUGGGAACUGCAUCCAAAACUGGCAAGCUAGAGUAUGGUAGAGGGUGGUGGAAUUUCCUGUGUAGCGGUGAAAUGCGUAGAUAUAGGAAGGAACACCAGUGGCGAAGGCGACCACCUGGACUGAUACUGACACUGAGGUGCGAAAGCGUGGGGAGCAAACAGG
rnacentral:rRNA from 1 species